GUCCUUUUGAUUUUUAUUUAAGGUCUAACCUGCCCACUGAUAUAUUUAAUGGCCGCGGUAUUUUGACCGUGCAAAGGUAGCAUAAUAAUUUGUCUUUUAAUUGAAGGCUUGUAUGAAUGGUUGGACGAGAAAACUACUUUCUUUAUAAUAAAAUAAUUAAUUUUAUUUUUUAGUUAAAAAGCUAAAAUGUUGUUGUAGGACGAGAAGACCCUAUAGAACUUUAUAUUUAUUUUUAUAUUAAUAUUUUUGGUUAAUAAUAUAUUGUAUUUUUAUAAAUAUUUUGUUGGGGCGACAAGAAAAUUUGUUUAACUUUUUUUUAUUAAUUUCAUUAAUUAAUGUAUAAAUGAUCCUUUAUUAAGGAUAGAUAGAAUAAGUUACCUUAGGGAUAACAGCGUAAUUUUUUUGGAGAGUUCUUAUCGAUAAAAAAGUUUGCGA
rnacentral:rRNA from 2 species